rnacentral:sRNA from 1 species
UCUCAAGGAACGGCGGCUAACGGCCCGUACUGCCUGAACACCGCCGUCAUCACGUCCUGUGAA